ensembl:lncRNA
CGGUCGUUAAGGGCCGUUGAGGGAGGAGAGCCUGUGGGGCUAUAGAACCUUCUAGAGCGGCGGCGAUGCGGCGUGGAUUGGGGAGUGUUGAAGUGAGUCUGCCAUUUUAAUGAUUAAAUGGUCCUGAUGUGGUGGAGAGUGUCUGUGCUGGUUCUGCUGUUGAGAAAUACAGAUACUGGUGAGUUAUGCAAUGUGAGCUGAGAGUUUGGUGUGAACGUCUGAUUUUUUUUCUAACGUGGUCGUUUGAAGUUUGAUGUCUUCCUGACAACUUUACUUUACUUGGCUCUUCAUAGCAAUUUUCAUGUCUUGAAAAUAUGCAGGGGUUAGGUGGGGGAUGCCGGAUCAAGUUCUUUGAUAAGGGCCUGGGAUUCCUCUAGCAACAAGGACUCCUUUGUUACAGGCUGAUCUUGUGCUACCUUGGUGUGGGAGUGGUGAAGUCUGAAAUGGAUGGUGUCACUAAAUUAGUGACCACAUCAGAACUUCUCCAAUCUGCAUCGCUUCCAGACAAAUUAAGCUAUGUGUCAAGGCAAGGUCAUUUGGUGAUCGUGAGAAGCCAGUUAAUAUUAUUCUUAGACCACAAGGAAUUUCCACUUACUGUAAAGCUGUCAGGCUGUUCCUCUUCGCCCGUCAGUGGGGCUGCAGCUUUGCCACUGGACACACAGAGAACACUGUAGCAGUGUGUUGGGUGAUGAUACAGACCAUUAGCAGCAGCGUGCUGCUUGUGUGAGUUUCUGCAGGAGCAGCCUGGGUGUGGGACAGCUAUAAAGUGCUUUGUCAGGUUAACGAGCAUAACGAAGUUAAGGUUUGCAGGAAACAUUUACUGUUAGCAGUCUAGCCACGUGUUCGCUCACCAUCUCAUAGAGGCCCGGAGUGCCAGCAGGUGAAUGUAACAACAUGUUGAGUCUUACCAUCCUAGAAGGAAGGGUACCAGCUGCUCAGCAGAGCAGCAGAAGUGUAGCAGGUUUGGUGUGUGCAGGUUUUCUGAUGAUGUAUCCAGUCAUUGAGAAAGCCAUCAAACACACUUUGUGUUGCUCUGUAGAGUGCUGGGAGCAGUUCCGAGCACAGCAGGAAAAUAAUGAAGACCUGUCAGAAAGCUGCAUUCUUGGGCAGUGUUUCCAGUGGGCAGCGUCACCUGACUGGGAGCUGUGACGUGCGUGGUCCAGAGGUG